AUAAAAAUGAUCAGAAACUGAAGAGGAGGAGGAGGAGGAGGAGGAGGAGGAGAGACGAUCGAUGCACGGUCUCAGCAGACACCGUAGUCGUGGAAGAUGAGAUCGGCCGCCGCGGCGGCUGCGGCGGCGGCGGCGGCGGCGGAGGAGGAGGAGGUGUCGCGGUGGCGGAGGAGGAGGAGCUCCUUUUGGCGGCGGAGCUCCAUGACCUUGCGGUGGGAGUUGGAGUGCUGGGUGAGGACGAAGGUGGGGCUCGCGGCGGGGCGGUACUCGGGGACGAGGCGCCCGGACUUGUACCGCACCCCGCACGCGUUGCACAGCGUCUUCGGCCCCAGCGGCCCCG
rnacentral:lncRNA from 1 species